AUGCAACGCAGAGAUGCGGAAAAAAGCUGCAAGGAUUGUGUGCAUAUCCGUUUGAAACAGUUCCCUGGAGGGAUCAGAUGCAUAUCUUCCCUGCUGGAUGCCUCUCUGCAUGAGGUGGAUGAAUACAAGCAGCUCAUGCUGCAAGGCUUGUUUAUUAUUGAGAAGCUCGCCACCGACGAGGACAACUGCAGAGUCAUGAGCCACAUAAAUGGUCUAGUUUGCAUGAUCAUGAGGCCUCUAAGCCGCGACCUACUGCACCGUGUUAAUCAUGGUGAAUGGUCCGAUGUUGUAGAUGCAUCACUGCGAUUGACGUGCACCUGGCUCAAUACUGCUACAGGAAAGAGUGGCGAAAAGCUGUGCAGCCAAAUCAUAGUGAACAAGGAAGCAAUCAGCGCCAUGCUGACCAUUCUCGUCUGUGAUAAUUGUCAUAAAGAACGGCUUAUACUAGCCAUGAAGGUUCUUCUCAUCACAAAAAUACAAGGCCAAGAAAAUAUCGUCGUGCAGCUACUAGGCAUCUUUCUUGGUUACAGGAAGGAUGAUUACAUCACAGGAUUGGCUGGUGAAAAGCUUCUCAUGCUCUCCAAAGAGAGCAAAAUCAACGCAAAGACCAUCUUAGAAGGAAAGAUCAUCCUAGAACAAAAUGGCGAUUCUGCUCAGAGGAUUAUCGGAGCAUUAUAUUUUGAGGAAAGGAAUAAAUUCAGAAUAUGUGCAGCAGGGAUCCUGGAGGGUCUAUGUAGUCACUACAUCUUGCUCUUGAAAAUGCUUCCUGCACAGCGGCAGAGAGCAAGAAAUGUCUCACUGGAUGCUGAUGUAGAAAGGCAAAACACUAGUGUUGUUUCAUCAUUAGAUAAUGCCCAAAAUGGUGUGCAACCCGAGGAUAAGGAACUGCAAGCAGCCUUGCUGUCUCUAUGCUUCACGGCAUACCACAAAAUGAUCGAUAAAGAAGAUGAUUUACCUCCUCUGCUUGACGCAGUUCGCUUGAAAGAUCCUCAGUUUAACUUACCGGAGAGGCUCAUUGAAUUGGUAGAAAGGAACAGCGACUCCACGGUGGUGGACUGCCUCAGAAUCGUGAAAUAUACUGCUAAGAUGGCCAAAUCCAUGAUAAGACACAAGCAUUUCUACUCUGACCAAGACCUUGGUAGAUUGAUGAACUCACUGGACAAAGCUUGCAGAGACAUGAGCCAUGUUGACGCCUUUGAGCAUUUAUCUGGAGGCGAUGAUGCUGAUACUCUCAGUACCCUCGUGCAAGAAGCACGUAAACUGUUUCAUCCAAUGGAACAAAGACAGAAACCUGAGGUUUCAAUCAAGGGAAAAGAAUAUGAAAUUACUGAGCAGGGGCAGUCCUCAUCAGGUUCAAGCGAUAGUGAUAUUCUCGGUUACCUGCGUGUACUGUUUCGUCAACCGGAAGAAGAACAGCAACCUGAGGUUUCAAGUAAGGAAAAAAUAGUCUGA
rnacentral:rRNA from 1 species